UGGCACCAAACUAUUGGGUUAUUACUGCUUUUUUCUUCUAUUCCUUAUAUUACAGACCUUAGGACAUGUGAUUAAAAAAUGUUUAAAAAGGAAAACAGUAAGGCUUGACACCCAGAAUAAUUGAUUUUUAGAACUGAUAGGUGGAAUUAUGAGAAAUGAGAGACUUAAAUUAUUAAAAUAAGUGUAAAUUCUGUGAUCGAUGCAAAUAAUUUCAACACCAGUAAUGCAAAGUACACUAUCAGUGCCGAAGGCUCACCUGCGUGGAACCUUCCCUGACCUCUGCUCCCCUGUGUCCUUAGCCAUGUCUGGGAACGGGCCAGGGACACGGGAGGAUGCCAUUCACAGAGUGAGAGACUGGGUAAAGCCAUCCCCCAGAGUGACUCCAGGCCCCUGGUUGGACUUCCCUCUGAAGCACCUGCUCCUUCCUCCUUGCUCUGCAUCCUCUCCUGCCUUCCUUUCUUUUCCCUCUCUCAUUCCCACCUCUGUCCCCCCCUUGGUUUUUAACCCUUCCUUCACUUUCUCAUAACUCACCCCUGGGUCUGU
rnacentral:lncRNA from 1 species